CUGCAGGAGGCCGCGGGCGCGAGACUGGGAAUGCGCAGGGCCCCCGCCUGGCUCUACAAGCCCGGGCCGCGGCCCCCGCCUUCCCCGCCGCCUCCCGGCGCUCCGUGCCCGCCCCACGAGGCCGGCGGCUGCUGCUACCUGGGGCCGUUGCUGCUUGUGCCGUGAGCGACGGCCAGCCAUUGUCCCCGCCGCUCCGUCAGCCGCGCCCGGCCGCGCGCGCACCGGAAGGCGCAUUGGCGUCUUGCGGGCUCCGGGCCGGGUGGGCAGGAUGGCCUCCACAAGCCGCAUGGCGCGCAUGGGGAGCCUCCGUUGAUGCCGCCGCGCCGCCCUCCGAGGCUGCAUCCGCGGAAGCCCGGCUCCCCGAGCGCUCCGGCCCGGCCCGGCGCCCCGGACCUGAGUGCGUCCCCAUGAAGGCGCCCGGGCUGGCCCAGGCGGCCGUGGCAGAGGAGACCCCGGACUGGGCGCCCGAGCUCUGCCCCAGCCCCGAGUCGCGGUCGCCGGAGCCGCCUGCCAACCGCCUUCAAGACUUCGACACGCUGGUCACCGUGGGAAAGCAACUAGAAGCCAUUUGUGUCAAGGUAACGUCUGGAGAAACAAAAGGUCAGGAACGGCCAACGUCCCUACUGGCCACAGUCCAGCCCCAAUCUGCAAGACAGAGCCAGCCGCCCCGGGGGAAUUCCCGCCUGGUGGGACUCCACGUCACCAGCCCCCAGCUGCUCAGGGUACAGCCCCUCGUGAGAACCGAGCCACAGUCAUGUUUCCUACAUCAGCCUCCUGCUCAGGGGUUUGUACAGAGACCACUGCCAGCCCUCUAGGUGGUCCCUGCAAAGAGAGUCCCAGCUCCCAAGGCUCCAAAUGGACAGGGCACCAUGUUGACCCCUUCGUUGGCCUCCAGUUCGCCGACUGUAACAUGUUUCAUCCAGUUCAGGACGUUUAUUUAUUUCCAACUUGCAUACAAAACAUACUGAGAAACUAAAACCAUCGUUAAAAGUGAAGACACGUUGAGACAGGUAUCUCGACCUGCCAAGUAUACAGCUAAAGCUGAGUUCAUAAAAAGGGAUGAUUUGGCCGACGGUCAUCUGCCAGAUUCUGAUGAUGAUUCAGAACUCAGUGUGGAAGAACAUCAGAGGGAGAGGCAGGCGCUCUUUGACUUAUCAAGCUGCUCCCUGAGGCCCAAAAGCUUCAAGUGUCAGACUUGUAAAAAGUCAUAUAUAGGGAAGUGGGGACUGGCCCAGCAUUUUAAACUUAAUCCAGGCCAUGGCCAGCUGGACCCUGAGAUGGUGCUAUCUGAGAAAGCCAAUGGGAGCACCCUCCGUGGGUGCACAGAGGAAAGGACGCUCAGCCUGACCUUCCCGGGGCUGUCCGUGCCAGCGGCUCCGCGUGAGGGAGGGGCCCGCUCCUGCUUGGUGAGAGAGUCAGCACGCGGUGGCCUGGUCUCACUCUGUCGCCCAGGCUGGAGUACAGUGGAGCAGUCUGAGUUCACUACAACCUCCACCUCCCAGGUUCAAGUGAUUCUCCUGCCUCAACCUCCCGAGUAGCUGGGACUACAGUCACGUACCACCAGUUGAAAAAGAUCAUCUAGCAAAGCCUUUUUUCCCAGCUACAUAUAAGGAAUUUGAAAGUCGCAUAAAAUGGUUAAGAAAAUGUGCCAAGAUUACCUCAGUAAUUCUGGUCUGUGUUCUCAGGAGACCCUGGAAAUAAACAAUGUGUCUUCUGUGGCUUCAGCGUCACCUAGUGCAGGCUGCCAUUCAACAAACGCAUUGUCAACAGUCAACCAAAAGAAACCCAUUGGCCACCAUACCCUGAGGACUAACCCUGACACAGAUGCCCUUCCAGAUGCCCUCAGUAGUCUAACUGAUUCCAUCGCCCCAGCCUUGGGGGAGAAGCACUGCUGCCUAUGCACUCCAUUUACAGGUGAACUGUCACCCCUACAACUCAGCUUGCAACCAGCCCUGGCCACCACCAGUUUCCCCACACUGAGCUGAAUAUUGGACAUGCCCAUCUUAGACAUUCCAGCCCAUUCUGAAAUUCCACAUCGAUUCACCCGACAAAGUCUGAAGUUCCAGGGCAAUUUAUCUGGAAAAGCUCACCUGGAAUCAUGUGUCAUUUCAACCAACAACUGUCGAAGAGGACGUGGCAUCAAAACCAAGGUUAUCAAUUAUUUAUAAGGGUUGUGUGGUGGUUGGUCCAAGCAUCUCUCCUUCAUGCCAUCACUCCUUUCAAGAGCUGCCUCUAUUUUCUAAUUUAGCACAGGAAUUUAGAUGCCCCUAAAUAAGUAGGCAUCCAGUAUCUGCCCACACCAGUUUUAGUGAGAGUACAUAUGGAGACACUGCCACCACCCCUGCUCUCCUACUGCAUACCCCACCAUGCCAAAGCAUGGUGGCUCACACCUGUAAUCCCAGUGCUUUGGGAGGCCAAAGAGGAGGAACACUUGAGGCCAGAAGUAUGAGACCAGCCUGGGCAACAUAGUGAGACCUCAUUUCUAUAAAUAAGUUAAAAAAACAAAAAAAUAGGGCACAGUGGUGCACAUGUGUGGUCCCAGUUACUCAGCAGGCUGAGGCUGGAAGAUCACUUGAGCCCAGGAGUUUGAGGCUGCAGUGAGCUAGGAUUAUGCCACUGCACUCUAGCCUGGGCAACAGAGAGAGACCCCAUCUCUAAAAAGAGGGAGAAGAAGGAAGGAGGAGGAAGAAGAGGAAGAGGAGGAGGAGAAAUACUGCUCUUUCUCAGGCCCAAGGUAAAAAGGUUUUUGGUCUCAUGUUGACCAGAAAGACAUUGAUAUUUAAUUAAGCAAUAUAAAAAGGCUCAUUGUUAGGAUUAAAGAGUAAGUAAAAUCAAUAUUGAGAUAGGAGGAUGGAGGACACCAACUGAGUUCCGAUCCCAAUGAAGAGGAGAAAAAGCUACAACUAUCUAGGUGAAAUAUCUACUUAUCCUAGAAGAAGCCUUUUGACAGCAACAUAAAAUUCAUACCUAUAGGUUUUUAAUUCCUAUGGAUGCCGUAGCAAAUAACAAAAACUUGGAUGGUGUAAAGUAACAGAUGUUUACUCUUUUCCAGUAUUGGAGACCAGGAAUCUGAGAUCAAGGUGUGGGCAGGGGUGCGCUCCCCCUGGAGGUUCUAGGAGAGGAUCCUUCCUGCCUCUUCCAGCUCCUGGUGGCUCCAGGUGUCCCUGGGCUUGUGGCCACAUCACUACAUUCUCUGCCUCCAUCUCCACGUGACCUUUUCCUCUGUGUCUGUGUCUCCUCUUCUGUCUCUUAGAAGGACACUGGUCAUUGGAUUUAAAGGCCACCUGGGUAAUUUAUAGUGAUCUAAUCUCAAGAAUCUUUCCUUAAUUACAUGCAAAUACUCUUUAUCCAAAUUAGUUUGCAUUCACAAAUUCUGGAGCUUAGUACUUGGACAUAUAUUUUGGGGGGUUGAUGGUUGGAGGGGCUUUUAUUCAACUCAGUACAUCUUAAUAAGGAAUUAAUGCCCCCCAACUUGCCUUACAAGUCAUAUAUUAAAAACAAUGUUGGCCUGGCACAGUGGCUCAUGCCUGUAAUCUCAACACUUUGGGAAGCCAAGGGAGGAGGAUCACUUGAGCCCAGGAGUUGGAGACCAGCCUGGAUAACAAAGGGAGACCCAGUUUCUACAAAAUAUUUAAAAAUUAGCCAGGCAUGAUGGUGCAUGCCUGUGGUCCUAGCUAUUCAGGAAACUGAGGUGGGAGGAUCACUUGAGCCUGGAAGUUCAAGACAGCAGUGAGCUAUGCUCACACCACUGCACUCCAUCCUGGGCAACAGAGCUGGACUCUGUCUCAAAAAACAUAACACUAAAACAUCAAAAUUAAAAAAAAAAAACACUGAAAGUAGCCUCCACUUACAAACUAAUUACUCUUUCUUGAAAAUAUUACACUUUUUUUCUUCUAUAUCUCUACUCCUAGCUCUCAACACCUUUCUUAAGCCCACAUCAUAACCUGUCUUGCAUAACUUUGUGAGUGCCCAACGUUUCACUGUACAAGAUUGUAGAGCUGCAUGCUUCUUAAGAAUAAAUCCACACUUUAGGUACCAGUAAAUCCAUGCAAUGCCUCAGACGUUAUAACCAAAUAAUGCCUGGAAAAUCGACAUGAAUUUAUGUGAAGCAUAAGCCUUUAAUUUUUUUAAAGAAAAGUAGAUUGCUGUUUUUCCACAUCAUUUCAGAGCCGUUCUCUAGUUUUGCAUGCCCUUUACUGCAGAACCAUACAGAUUUUGUUCUCCAUUUCAUACAUCAUUUGUUGAAAUGCCCUUUAAAAUGUAACGGAAUAUAGAGCUUUAUGGGAAAAAAUGCUGUAGAAAAUAAAUUAUCUUCUCUCUUUGUAUUGGGAACCAAAAGGUCUCACCUUAUUAAUGACCACAGAGACUCUCCUAAAGCAAUUCUGGAAGUCAAAACAGCUGGAGUCUAGUUUAAUGGGAACCCUCAUUAAUUAGACAAGAACACCAAGGCUAUGACCACAGCAGCUGGUAGCAGCAGCCCUGCAGUGAAGUAGACUCUCAGAGGACACAAGGAAAGAGUGUAUUGAUAAGAAAUCUACAGCAAAGGUGUAGCACAUCAUCAUUUGAUCUUGAUACACUUGACUGUGGGCAAAGUACCUGUUAUGUAAAACAUGCUUUGUUAGUUAGGGCCAUGAUAAGCUGCUUAAGCUGAUGAAUGAACACCAAAUCUCAGUGUUUUUUUUUUUUUUUUUGGUUUUUUUUUUUGAGACAGAGUCUCACUCUGUCGCCCAGGCUGGAGUGCAGUGGGGUGAUCUCAGCUCACUGCAAGCUCCGCCUCCCAGGUUCACGCCAUUCUCCUGCCUCAGCCUCCCGAGUAGCUGGGACUACAGGCGCCCGCCACCAUGCCCAGCUAAUUUUUUUGUAUUUUUAGUAGAGACGAGGUUUCACCAUGUUAGCCAGGAUGGUCUCAAUCUCCUGACCUCAUGAUCCGCCCGCCUCAGCCUCCCAAAGUGCUGGGAUUACAGGCGUGAGCCACCGCACCCAGCCCGUAUUUUUUUUUCUAACAAAUACCUGGUGUUAAGCCCAAAGUGUGUGUUUCUGGUUGGCUGGUGAUGCUCUUUCAAGUCCUGAAUCAGGGACCCAAUAACUUUCAACAUUGUGGCUCAGCUCUCUUCAACAGCUGCCUCCAAGUUCUCUUGAGAUAUUGGUAUUUAUCAGAGGAGAGGGGAUGGAGAAGGUAUAUGCCUUUGCUAGAGCUGCCAUAACAAAGGACUGUAGACUGAGGGGCUUAAACAACAGAAAUUUAUUUCCUUACAAUCCUGGAGGUCGGAAGUCUGAGAUCAAGGUGUGGGCAGGGCUGGUUCCUCCUGAGGCCUCUCUCCUUGGCUUGUAGACUCUGUGUUCUCCCUUUGUCCUCAUACAGUCGUCUCUCUGUGUGUGUCUGUGUCCUCAUCUCUUCUUAUGAGGUGUCUUAGUCCAUUUCAAGCUGCUAUAACAGAACACCAUAGACUGCAGGGCUUAAACAACAGACAUUUAUUCUCCCAUUGUCUUGGAGGCUAUCUAUCUACCUAUGUAGCAUCUAUCUACCCAUCUAUCUAUCAUCUGUGUAUAAUCUACCUAUUAUCUAUCUAUCUACUUAUCAUCUACUUAUCAUCUACCUAUCAUCUGUCUAUUUUUCUGUCUAUCAUCUAUCUACCAUCUAUGUAUCUACCUAUCAUCUAGCCAUCUGUCAUCUAUCAUCUAUCACCUAUCAUCUAUCUGUCUCACCUAUCAUUUAUCUAUGUAUUUGUGUAUCAUCAUCACCCAGCUAUGAACUAUCUAUCAUGUAUGAUGUAUCUAUCAUCUAUGUAUCUACCUAUCUGUUAUUUUGGUCAAAUAUACAUAAUAUAAAACUCACCAUUUUAACCAUU